GUUUGGGAUUGCGGGAAGAUUGCGUUACGUGCGGUGAGAAAGUACGUUAGAAAAAUACCCUGUUUGUUGCUAUACAUAAUAUUGCGUUCCGCAUAUCACGAUGAGUCGGUUACGAUAUAUUUUCUGCGGUCCCACCGGAGAACGCAGAAGCAUAUCCCUAUAUGCUUUUUCCUCAACUCCAUUCUAUCUAAUAGCGUUAGAUAAGCCUUAAUACCAAACUAAGCCUUAAUAAACCGUCUCACACUGUCUUCUUCGUCAUUCUCACUAAUCCUUCUACCACUAGUAGAAAGAGGUAGGGAGAGAGAGUCGCCCUGCCUUAAGCCCCUCUUAGUUUUUAUCUAUUUGGAAGGAACCCCGUUAACUAGUACGACAACUUUAUCAUUAGUUAUACAUUGCUUGAUCCAUCUACAUCA
rnacentral:lncRNA from 1 species